rnacentral:rRNA from 1 species
GCUGGCGGCGUGCUUAACACAUGCAAGUCGAACGAUGAAGGAGGAGCUUGCUCCUCCGGAUUAGUGGCGAACGGGUGAGUAAUACGUGAGCAAUGUGCCCUUGACUCUGGGAUAAGCGCUGGAAACGGCGUCUAAUACCGGAUACGACCNUCGGAGGCAUCUCCUGGUGGUGGAAAGAACUUCGGUCAAGGAUCAGCUCACGGCCUAUCAGCUAGUUGGUGAGGUAACGGCUCACCAAGGCGACGACGGGUAGCCGGCCUGAGAGGGUGACCGGCCACACUGGGACUGAGACACGGCCCAGACUCCUACGGGAGGCAGCAGUGGGGAAUAUUGCACAAUGGGCGCAAGCCUGAUGCAGCAACGCCGCGUGAGGGACGAAGGCCUUCGGGUUGUAAACCUCUUUUAGCAGGGAAGAAGCGAAAGUGACGGUACCUGCAGAAAAAGCACCGGCUAACUACGUGCCAGCAG